CGCUUGCAUCCUUCCUCUCCCAGCGAUUAUCUGGUGAUCAUCGAAGAUCCGCCCCUCCAUUGGAUGCCGGUCGUCCCUCCAUUCUUGCAUACCACUGAAGUAGCCAUCGAUGUUCAUCAACAUUCCGAACAGCCACCUUCCAUCCACUUGACACCCGUGUUGUAGAACAAGGGUAGCAAGCCCUUCCAUGGCCAUUCAAAAGAAACGAGAGAGAGGUGCCAUGGAUGAGAGCUUCGAGGUGCGAUUGAAGCGGCUCUUCAGCACUAGGACUCUUUCUAUCUCUUCACCUCUUUAACUUCCAGUGAUAUUAGUAUCUUCAUUUUUAUCAUUAAAAGGAAAUGGCAUCGGAGAAUAUGAAAUCAUGUUUUCUAUCUCAUUUCUAGGAUGAGACUAGUCAUGACUAAUGUAUGACCAUGUAACCCCUAUCUUUUCAUGAGCAUCAUUAAGGAUAUGCUUAUCUGCAUCAUCCUCCGUUGAUCUACAAUUUUCCCUUUCCUCAUCCUGUUCGGAUGUACCAUAGAAUUCUUUGGUGGAGAGAAAGGGUGACAAGUUAGACGGCAGAGGGUAGAUGUGGGUGCAAGCUUGCCACGGACGUCGGAUUAGCUGUUAUCGAAGAAAGGAUAGAGAGUUGCUAGGUCCAGAUGACUUGACCUUUAAGGAUUUUCACUACCAUCGCACCUCCAUUCGAAAGAGAUGGAUUUGGCAGAUAGGGAUGUAGCAUUGGCCUAUAGUAGUAGGAAUUCUAAAUUAUAACUACUUCUAAGAUAGAUUCUACUGGUAGAUUAAGAACUAAGAUAUGAUGAAAUGCAUUGGUUUGGAUUGGAUCAUUUAUAAAGUACAAAUUUAUUUUUAUACUAAAAAAAAAUAACUGCCCAUUUUAAUAGUUGCCAUCCACGUCUGGUUCUACUCUUAACAAUUCUGAUAGUUGACGCCAGUUAUCCUCCACUACGCACAUUCAUUAGCAUGGUCGCCUUGCGUCAACUAUUAGAUACAUAGUCUUAUCUUAUCGAUCAUAGCUUAUAUUACCAUGGCCUAUAAUAUAGUAUUUCUGUACUCAGAAUUAUCUUUAAGACUGCUUCAGUUGUUUCAAUCUAUUCCUUAUGUCUGCGAUAUGAGCUUUCUGCCUACUUAUUGACUGAACCCUCUUCUUUUAGUCCGCGCCUUCUCGCAGUGAAAUUUAUCAUGGUUGAACUCUACUGAAUCCAAGAAGGCUCACGUGAUCUUCAUCCAUUUUGACUUAAUCUAAUAUUUGCCCAUAUAGCACUUGCUUACAUCAACCAACUAGGUUGUUGAGAUGGGGUGUAAACAAUGUCCCCCUCCCUCCCAUCUUAUUAGUCAAUGAUCAAGAGGUUGACGGGAUGCCUGUCCAUGUACUGCCUUUUUAUUAACUAAGUGUUGCCCUUUUAUUAAAACAUCACUUCUGCUCUCGGUGAUCUGCCCGCAUCUUUUAUGAUUCAGCUGAACUCUCUACUUUUGCUACAUUUCUUUCUUCUCGGAAUACUCUUGCAUCUUGGAAUGGCUUGCCCAUUGCUAGAAGGAUCUCUCACAUCCAUAGAGAUUCGGUAUCAUCUUUCAUAUUAACAGGGAUUUAGCUUAAUCUUCUAGUGAGGUACGCCUCUUCUCUAUAAAUAGGUCAUGUGUCCUCCUCUUCAGUGCUCAUUCCUCUUCUUCCUCAUGGCUACUCAUGCCUCCCAUGGAUGCAUAUGCAUCAGUCCAAGAUAAGCUAUGUACUUGGAAGGACCAACUCACAUCCCUCGAGGCAUAGUUGACCGACAUUCAUUGAGAGAUACAAAUCCCAAAAGAAUAAUAGAUAGAGUUGGAACACAACAACAAGGAGAAAUUUUGAUGUUGGAUGUAACUUGAAAACAACUAGAAGCCUACAAAUCUUGGUUUCUAGAUCUCUUUGACAAGAUGGUUGCCUUCAAGCCAAAAUCCUAUACUUUCCAAGAGAAGUGGGAGCAAGGUCCGCCGUACCGGUACCGGUGGCGUACCGGUCCCGUACGAAACCGGUCCCGUACCGGUCCAGUACCGGUGGCGUACCGGUCCCGUACCGGUUCUUCAACAAUAAAUUACCGGUACCGGAUUUUACGCUGAUCCGGUACCGGUCCCAGGCCGGACCGGUACGUACCGGCCCGUACCGGCCGGUACGGACCGGUACGGCAGACCAUGAGUGGGAGAGACAUAAAAGAAUUGUGAGAGACCUAUAGAUAAAAAUAGGAUACUAUUAUUUGUAUCGACCUCUUGGUCGGAAUUAGUAGAAUGUCUUCUUAUAAGAUAAUAUAUAUAAUGCUACUUUCCGCUUUCAAACUGAAUUUAUUACUUCUUCAAUCUUCUAGAAACUUUAUGUGUAGCACUAAGAUCCAUGCUGCCCAUAAUCCACAUGAGGAUCUUUAAUCAUUCGAACAAUUAGGUUCCAUAUCUUGUUGAAAAUCCAUGCAAAACUAAGAUAAUAAUAUCUCCUGGCAUAAAACUUCAGCGCGCAAAAUAUCUGAGCGAAGCGUAGCUUCUCCUUUAUGUUGAUAUAUUGGUAGUUAUGUAUUAUUAGUUUUGAAAUACAGAUAUCAAGAGAGCGCCUUUGCAAUUUAUGUUUGACUAUAUGUAUCAAAUAUUGCACAAAUUGUUUAACCAUAUAUUCAUAUAUCCCCUGACGUUUUGUGUUAUAUAAUAUCUAUUAUUGUAAACGACUUAUGUUGUUGUCUUAGCACUUAAAUACUGCCUCAUUACUUGGACAAGGUGAAAAAUUUCAACUUUCUGUUUAUCAUAAUGUUUCUAUAUCCAGUCCUCUGGACUCCAGAAAAUUAGAUCUUAACCUUCAGCUUGAUUAAUGAGAUACCAAUUUGCUCGGUCAAUUUGUCACAUUUGAUUGCACCAUUGAGCUCAAAAUUAGCUUUAUCUUAAUCAUCCAUGGCACCAAAGUUUUUCGUACUGGUUGGUAACGUACCAUAUCGGUGCUGAAUUGGUACGCAGUAUCAUACCAGCUGACACUUGGUAUGCCUCACUGUCUCAUACCGUACUGUGUAUCGACACUAUAAUAGGAUGGUACCAGUACGGGGUCUGGUACCGAGACGACGAACCUUGUAUGGCACUGUACCAUUCAAUCCGCACAACCAAGCAUUUAUUCUUAUGGUGCCUUUUUUUUUAGUGAAGUAGAUUUUGAGGAACCCACCCAGAUUUUAUUAAGAAGAUGAAAUCAGAAUACAGAAGUAGUAGAAAAAUAAUAGAUAAAAAACAGAAAUUUAGAAAAGAAUAAAGAUGGAAAUAUAGAAAAAAAAAACAGGAAUUUGAUGAAGAACAGAGAGCAAGUUUUUGUUCUUGCUUAUUAUUGAGGCAGCUAGUUCAAUCAAGGAAAAGCCUAAUCAUUGUCCUAGUUACUCCAUCGAUGCUUGCAGAUUCAUGGUUAAAAUUUCUUUUGUUAUGUUCCUUCCACUGGAACCAAAUAGUGGUCUGUGCUCAAGAGUCUCAACCAUGAUGAACUCAUUGCAGAAUGUUUUUCCAAGUAGUUUAUAUGGGUUGAACUUCUCUAGGCAUCAUGCCUUGUGUUCCGUUAAGAUUCAAUACAUUCUGCCAAAUUUGCUCUGAGAAAGGGAAGAAAAUGAGGAGAUGAUCGAUUGCCUCAUGUUUGGCAUUCUUAACGGAACUUUGCGAGGGAGUGGUGAGCUCAAAAUAGGUUUCGCCUAUGAAUUUUUGACCAGCUGUGUUGAGGAAACAAUAUUAGGAUUUGACAUUAAAGAGUAGGUCAGAGGUCCAUCUCCACUUCAGUGUCUGGUUGACCCUUCAAGGUAAAACUGGAUCUAGAGAACGUGAUGGUCAUUCAUCAAAGGAGGCUUGAUGUUCUGUUGGAAAAUGAGUCCAUAUAGCUUGCCUAACUGUGAUAUUUUGAUCAGUGGAGAUUGAGAAAAGGGUUGGGAAGGAACCUAAAAGUGUGAAGCUGCCCAAUAGAUUGUCCUUCCAGAAAAGGUUCUAGAUCUGCAGAGAAAUUUUCAUUGGAGGACAAACUUCCAAAAAUGGAGAUGCAGAGGCUUGUAAGUUGCUGGAGAAGAAUGACCUUCUUCUGUAAUACUUUUGGAGAACAAUAAAUUGCCAUAGGGUAGGUUUGGCAUCUACAAGUCUCCAUUUCCAUUUGUGAAGCGAAGCCAAAUUCAUCUAGUGGAGGUCCUUUAUACCUAGACCCCCUUCCUUUUUUUUGAGUUCUCUCCCUUUCAAAGAAAAACUGUGUAUUCGAUCUAUAUGCUUAAUAAGCCAACUGGGGAGUGCAUACAAUUAAAAAAGAAAAAAAAAUGCGACUAGGAAGGUGGAAGACUGUAUGAAAUAGUUGAGGUGACAGCAUUGACCAAUGUUAGUCACCCUCUCGGAGUGAGUAUUUCCCUUUUUUUUUUGUGUUCUUGAGCGCUAACAGCCUGAGGAUUUGCACUUAAAUUGCUAACUUUUGUAUUACGGCGAAUUGUAUUAUGAACUGUUUAUUAUGAGCAGAAUGUGCAAUUAUUGGUUGUUUGUUUAGUACUUGCAAAUUGAUGACAGAGGGCCUUAUCUGACCUUUUCUGAUGUUCUUUUAGUGUACUCGGAUGAGGUGAGGUGCCAGUUAUAUUUCUUUUGUCUCACCUCCUUGCCUUUUUGGUGCUAAACUCGGAGGUUUUAUCAGAAAUUGCACUUUGCUGCUAAAGACUUAUGAAUCGAGAAAAGAUAUUGUAGAAGCUGCAGCUCGAUCGAUGUGGUGACAGUGGCUAAUUCAGGUGUUGUUUAUACAAUAUGGGCUCAAAGAGAUGGUGGUGUAUUUGAAAACUGGGUUAUAAUCUAUGUAGAUGCGGUACCCAGUUGUGCAGAAUGUCUGUAACAUCAUGGCUUUUUUGUUCAAAAGGAUGAGGGCUGUAUCAAUUAGCUGAUCAUGAACUAGAGUUGUGGUUAUCACCAGAAAAAAAUAAAAAAAGAAAAAAAACUGGAGUUGCCGUCGAGGUCAAACCUUCACACUGGUUGGUAUUAUGGGUGGCAGAAACUGGACCAUCGCUGUCUGAAACAAUUUUAGAAUGAGUGUAAGUGAACUAUAUGCUUUUUUUCAGAGAGAUUGUGAGAGACCAUGAAUGUGAUCUCAUUCCAGCUAACUACUUUCACAGGCAGGGAUGUCUACUAACGAGUUAGUUCAUGUCAGUGAAGCCGCAGAUACCUGGCUUCAUUUAUAUAGCUUAUGAGGAAACAUUUGAUAAAGAUAUUUUCUUUUCAGUUAGAUUGCAUCUAGCUCAUUUAUGAGUUGGAUGCUUCUUGUGAUGUAAUACUGCUUCAAGUUGUUAUUCCGCUUAUAUGAUUCCAAUCAUAGUGGAGAUGUUUGAAGGUAAUAGAAUGGCACAUACUGAAUUGGCUAAGCAAUCAAACUGCUAGCUAUUUUUGGGGAUCAGUAAUUCUUGACGAGCAUGCAAUGGAGCAGGCCUAUAAACCAGCUCAUAUGGCACUAUAAGAAAGGUUUAUAUCUGAUAUCUACACUUGCUUUAAGUCACUAUGAUCUUUUUAACAAUGUGAGUGAAAUACCUUCGGGAUAAGGACACUGAAUUGAGAAUCAAAAAUAGUUUUAGCAUGCAAGAGACUUAUGCAUCUAAUUUUAAAUCAUGUCAUAUUAGUACAAAAAAUAAGGAACAGUGAGUAGAAAUGUCAGUAUCCUUCUGAAAAAAGGGCACAUUCUUUAAAAUUCCUUGUGGAAUAGCAUAAUUACCUUUAUAUUUGACAUGUCAUAUUUAGUCAUUGUUUACUAAAUGGAGGGAUACUUUUUGAAUAGAGUCUAAAUCUCCCUUCUGCACUGCAUGUCUGUGUAUCAAUAUGUGAUUUGUGGAAAUGAUUUGUGUUACAGUCAUAAUCUAACAAUCAGAAUAACAUUAAUUUGAAGAUAGUAGAUUUAUUCUAUGCCAUGUUUUAUACUAAUACUACCCAUGCUACUCUGUAACCAUUCACUAUAGCCAGUAGAACUGUCAUAUAGCAUUAUUAGGAUAAGGCCAUUAUCUAACAACCUCUAGCCACAUGGAGCAUUACUAAUAUCCUGCAUGACAAAUGCUGUAUCUGAUGUUUCAUACCGCUAACAUUCUUGAAUAUGACAAAAGACACUCACAGUGAACACCCAAUCCACACUGUUUCAACUGGUGCACAAGCAUAGAUGUUGUCACUCGCCCAUGUAGUUCUUGUGGUGUUGCAUUUGCUGUUACCAUUCGAAAGAGCAAAAAAUGGAGGCACUUCUGCUACGAUGUUAGCAACCCUCACACUCUAAUUAGCAUAAUUUCAUCUUUGUCUCCUGGUCUUAGAUCGUAGAUAGACAAUCCAUACUCAUCAAAACCUGGGAACUCCUCAGUUUCUUGAACAUCGCAAUCUUUAAUAUUUUCAAGUUGAGUAUCAGUGUUUAUGCCAUCUCUUGCAGAUGAUGAUUCUGUGGUUUUAGUCAUGUAGGGGUCACUGCCUUCCAUCACAGAGGGAGCAGACGGUCCAUAUUCGUCAAAGCCUGGGAGUUUUUUAAAUUCUAGGAGGCUGCAGUCAUUGUUUUCUUCCAUUUGAGUAUCAAUGUGGAAGCCACCUCUUGCAGAAGACGGCUCUGUGAUUUCAGUCAUGGUGGGAGCAGAAAG
rnacentral:lncRNA from 1 species